CCAGGAUGAAAAGCAGCGCACCACCUCGGAGACCUCGAUGACCCUGGAGGAGAAGUUCCUGUUGGACAGUUCAGCGGAGGUCCAGGUGAUGAAGGGAAACAGAGAGUACGUCCUCAGCUUCAGAGACAUGUACCAGAGGAACCUGAAGCAGAACACCAAGAGGAGGGUCCGGCGCCGGCCUCGCCUCGCCACCCAGGCCCCGCUGCAGGAGGUCAGGGGGGACCAGUAUAUACCUGCCAGUAUAUACCUGCCAGUAUAGACCUGCCAGUAUAGACCUGCCAGUAUAUACCUGCCAGUAUAUACCUCCACGACUUCUGUAGUCCUAUUCAGCCACUCGGUAACAACCAUCGUUUCUCAGACACGUACUCUUCAGGAAUCACCAGUGGGGUCACUGCUGAUGGAUUUAAUGUCCUAGAACAAAACGUGAUCCGUCUCUUCAAUGUGUCUCAACCACAGACCUUAUUUCAGAUAUUUUCCUAAACCCUAUGGAGAGAUCCCAUUGGCUCUGAGCCGAGAGAACAGGAAGCGGUGAAGUGCUGACUCACUUCCUGAUUCACCACUCUAUAUCCCCGCCUCCUCAACGCGCCACUGGUGGACGAGGCGUCGUGUCGCAGGAAACCAACAUCUUCCAGAGGGUCCUGGUCCCCUGGAGCCACCAGCGCCAACACCAACAAAUAUAUUCCUUUAGUUCAUU